GGACCUGACUGCUAUCGGAUUGAUACUAAGCCAUGCGAGUCAUUGUAGCAAUACAAGGCAUACGGCUCAGUAACGCGUAGUCAACCUAACCUAUGGACGGGAAUAACCUCGGGAAACUGAGAAUAAUGCCCGAUAGAACAUUAUGCCUGGAAUGGUUUAUGUUCCAAAUGAUUUAUCGCCGUAGGAUGGGACUGCGGCCUAUCAGUUUGUUGGUGAGGUAAUGGCCCACCAAGACUAUUACAGGUACGGGCUCUGGGAGGAGUAGCCCGGAGAUGGGUACUGAGACACGGACCCAGGCCCUAUGGGGCGCAGCAGGCGAGAAAACUUUGCAAUGUGCGAAAGCACGACAAGGUUAAUCCGAGUGGUUUCUGCUAAAGAAACCUUUUGUCAGUCCUAGAAACACUGAUGAAUAAGGGGUGGGCAAGUUCUGGUGU
rnacentral:rRNA from 1 species